rnacentral:rRNA from 1 species
GCAAGUCGAACGAGGUGCUUCGGCGCCUAGUGGCGAACGGGUGAGUAACACGUGAGCAACCUGCCCCUGGCUCUGGGAUAGCCUCCGGAAACGGGGAUUAAUACCGGAUAUGACCUUGGUCUGCAUGGAUCUGGGUGGAAAGUUUUUCGGCUGGGGAGGGGCUCGCGGCCUAUCAGCUUGUUGGGGGGGUGACGGCCCACCAAGGCGACGACGGGUAGCCGGCCUGAGAGGGCGACCGGCCACACUGGGACUGAGACACGGCCCAGACUCCUACGGGAGGCAGCAGUGGGGAAUAUUGCGCAAUGGGCGGAAGCCUGACGCAGCGACGCCGCGUGCGGGAUGAAGGCCUUCGGGUUGUAAAGCCCUUUUGGCGGGGACGAUGAUGACGGUACCCGCAGAAUAAGCUCCGGCUAACUUCGUG